ensembl:lncRNA
GUAUGUGAUAGUGGUAUAUAGAUGGUGGUAUAUAGAUGGUGGUAUGUAAUAGUGGUAUAUAGAUGGUGGUAUAUAAUGGUGGUAUAUAGAUGGUGGUAUGUAAUAGUUGUAUAUAGAUGGUGGUAUGUAAUAGUGGUAUAUAGAUGGUGGUAUAUAGUUGUGGUAUAUAGAUGUUAGUUGGUGGUGCAUUUUUUGAUAUUUAUUUUUGUACCUCAAAAUGUAAAAUGAUCUACCAGACAUUACCACACAGUAGGUGGCAGCAGGUACAAACUAACGAGUGAAUCACAUGAUACCAAAGAAGAAGAGUCUUGUUAACCACAUCUGGGAACAACCAAUAGACAGAGAUGAAGUUUGACCAUCUGUUUGCAGAAAAAUAAUGUAUAUAUUUGUUUAAAAAUAUAUCGUUUUCAUCACCCUUUACUGAAGAAACAACAAGAAAACAACCACCGGUUAGCAGCGCUUAUAGCUGAGAAGCGUUUGGAUAAGACAGAAUAACUUGUUAAUGCCUCGGGUUCUCGAUAGCAACAUCAAAAUGAAAACUGUGAAGAUGUAUUGUAUGAGAAUUAGAGGUUUUAGGUUCAUGUAAAAGUGUCAACCCCUUCUAAUUUCCCUAAUUGUGUGGCUAGAGUCAAAUACGUUCUAUAGAACAAACUUCAGGAUAAGCAACCGAAAUGAAUCAUUAUUGUAUGUGUGUUAUAUUAAACAUAGAAGAGGGAGUAAAAUGUUGGCAAGCAAUAAACAUUUCAGAACAA